GGACGGGUGGUCGAGUGGUUGAAGGCACCGCACUCGAAAUGCGGCGUACCUGCAAGGGUACCGUGAGUUCGAAUCUCACCCCGUCCG
rnacentral:tRNA from 1 species